rnacentral:rRNA from 1 species
UACGGGGGGGGCAAGCGUUGUUCGGAAUUACUGGGCGUAAAGGGCUCGUAGGCGGCCAACUAAGUCAGACGUGAAAUCCCUCGGCUUAACCGGGGAACUGCAUCUGAUACUGGAUGGCUUGAGUUCGGGAGAGGGAUGCGGAAUUCCAGGUGUAGCGGUGAAAUGCGUAGAUAUCUGGAGGAACACCGGUGGCGAAGGCGGCAUCCUGGACCGGCACUGACGCUGAGGAGCGAAAGCCAAGGGAGCAAACGGG